GACGAACGCUGGCGGCGCGCCUAACACAUGCAAGUCGAACGAGCGAGCGAGAGCUUGCUUUCUCGAGCGAGUGGCGAACGGGUGAGUAACGCGUGAGGAACCUGCCUCAAAGAGGGGGACAACAGUUGGAAACGACUGCUAAUACCGCAUAAGCCCACGGUGCCGCAUGGCACAGAGGGAAAAGGAGCAAUCCGCUUUGAGAUGGCCUCGCGUCCGAUUAGCUAGUUGGUGAGGUAAUGGCCCACCAAGGCGACGAUCGGUAGCCGGACUGAGAGGUUGAACGGCCACAGUGGGACUGAGACACGGCCCAGACUCCUACGGGAGGCAGCAGUGGGGAAUAUUGCACAAUGGGGGAAACCCUGAUGCAGCGACGCCGCGUGGAGGAAGAAGGUCUUCGGAUUGUAAACUCCUGUUGUUGGGGAAGAUAAUGACGGUACCCAACAAGGAAGUGACGGCUAACUACGUG
rnacentral:rRNA from 1 species